rnacentral:rRNA from 1 species
CCUACGGGGGGCAGCAGUGGGGAAUAUUGCACAAUGGGGGGAACCCUGAUGCAGCGACGCCGCGUGAGUGAAGAAGUAUUUCGGUAUGUAAAGCUCUAUCAGCAGGGAAGAAAAUGACGGUACCUGACUAAGAAGCCCCGGCUAACUACGUGCCAGCAGCCGCGGUAAUACGUAGGGGGCAAGCGUUAUCCGGAUUUACUGGGUGUAAAGGGAGCGUAGACGGCAGAGCAAGUCUGAAGUGAAAGCCCGGGGCCCAACUGCGGGACUGCUUUGGAAACUGCCCGGCUAGAGUGCUGGAGAGGUAAGCGGAAUUCCUAGUGUAGCGGUGAAAUGCGUAGAUAUUAGGAGGAACACCAGUGGCGAAGGCGGCUUACUGGACAGUAACUGACGUUGAGGCUCGAAAGCGUGGGGAGCAAACAGGAUUAGAUACCCGGGUAGUC